UAAGGAAUAUUGCUCAAUGGGAGAAAUCCUGAAGCAGCAACGCCGCGUGGAGGAUGAAGGGUCUAUGACUUGUAAACUCCUGUAAAGAAGGAAAAAAUUCCCAUUAGAUGGGAGAUGAUGGUACUUCUGGAGUAAGCCCCGGCUAACUACGUGCCAGCAGCCGCGGUAAUACGUAGGGGGCAAGCGUUGUCCGGAUUUACUGGGUGUAAAGGGUGCUCAGGCGGAUUUGUAAGUCAGAGGUGAAAUCUUACAGCUUAACUGUGAAACUGCCUUUGAUACUGAAAGCCUAGAGUAUGGAAGAGAGCGAUGGAAUAUCUGGUGUGGCAGUGAAAUGCGUAGAUAUCAGAGAGAACACCAAUGGCGAAGGCAGUCACUUGGUCCAUUACUGACGCUAAAGCACGAAAGCGUGGGUAGCAAACA
rnacentral:rRNA from 1 species